UCCCUGGUGGUUCAGAUGGUAAAGAAUCUGCCUGCAAUGCAGUAUACCCGGGUUCGAUCCAUGGCUUGGGAA
rnacentral:tRNA from 1 species